AAAUGUUCCGUGUCCGGAUGUAAAACUUAUUCCGGAGAUAUAAUAUACAGAUUGUUCAGGUUCCCGGCUGUACGAUUAACUGGUUCAAAAUAUGAACGAAAAUCGUGGGAUCUACGUCACAGAGAACAGACGUCCAUCUUUAGCAUUCAACUUGUGUAAAAUCUCUAACGGUUUCGAAGUGGAUGAAAGCAUCCGGUACUGUCAAAAUCGCAAAUCAUCAUCGAGUGUGUGGUCGACAUUUUUCGAAUAACUUUCCGGCUGAUCCAGAAGAUUUAGAAAAUGUGGAUUGGGUGCCAACACUAUAUUUAUCGUGCAAAGAACAAACCGGAACUCACGAAAAGUCUGCUCCUCUUAGUAAAGAUGAUGUUACAUACAAUGCUUGUCAUGAGGCAGCUCCAAGUAAAUUCCAGAAUACCUCUGUUUGUGAACAUAUCACUCACAAUCCCGAUGAUCAAAGGAUAGACAAUCACGAAUUAAGUGCUGAUUUGUUUGAACAAUCAUUCAGCAGCGAUUGUUCUGUCCAGACUGAUACAUACUGGGAAAGAGAUCAACGUGAAUCUUUUCGAUUGAUACAAAAAUAUGGAAAGGAGAAUCGGUUGCUCAAAAGUCGAGAAGAACGUCUUCAGAGAGCUGAUUACAGCACGGGAAGGGACUCGAUACAUCAUUGCAUCACUUGAAGAGGAUCAUAAAAAGUGUCUUUAUUACACUGGUUUAAGUUCUGGAAAGACUUUAAAACAUCUAUUUGUUGCGUUAGAAUUUGCUAUUCCAGCUUGCUAUGGGCUGAACAAAGAAGAAAUCUUCAUAUUAACUUUGCGAAAGUUGCGUCUUGAUGAACCAUUCACCACCCUAUCACACUUGUAUAAUUUAGAUAUUACCAGGGUAUCGGAUUGUAUAUUUAGAACGAUUAACGCUAUCCAUCCGAUGUUGGAGGGGUUUGUGCGGUUUCCUCCGAGACACGUACUUAAAAAACACAUGCCAAUAAGUUUCCAGAAAAAGUACAAAG